rnacentral:rRNA from 1 species
AGCGAACGCUGGCGGCAGGCCUAACACAUGCAAGUCGAACGAACCUUUCGGGGUUAGUGGCGGACGGGUGAGUAACACGUGGGAACGUGCCUUUAGGUUCGGAAUAACUCAGGGAAACUUGUGCUAAUACCGAAUGUGCCCUUCGGGGGAAAGAUUUAUCGCCUUUAGAGCGGCCCGCGUCUGAUUAGCUAGUUGGUUGAGGUAAUGGCUCACCGAGGCGACGAUCAGUAGCUGGUCUGAGAGGAUGAUCAGCCACAUUGGGACUGAGACACGGCCCAAACUCCUACGGGAGGCAGCAGUGGGGAAUCUUGCGCAAUGGGCGAAAGCCUGACGCAGCCAUGCCGCGUGAAUGAUGAAGGUCUUAGGAUUGUAAAAUUCUUUCACCGGGGACGAUAAUGACGGUACCCGGAGAAGAAGCCCCGGCUAACUUCGUG